UACGAAGGGGGCUAGCGUUGCUCGGAAUCACUGGGCGUAAAGGGUGCGUAGGCGGGUCUUUAAGUCAGGGGUGAAAUCCUGGAGCUCAACUCCAAAACUGCCUUUGAUACUGAAGAUCUUGAGUUCGGGAGAGGUGAGUGGAACUGCGAGUGUAGAGGUGAAGUUCGUAGAUAUUCGCAAGAACACCAGUGGCGAAGGCGGCUCACUGGCCCGAUACUGACGCUGAGGCACGAAAGCGUGGGGAGCAAACAGG
rnacentral:rRNA from 1 species